UACAGAGGUGGCAAGCGUUGUUCGGAAUUACUGGGCGUAAAGGGCGCGUAGGCGGCCUUCUAAGUCAGACGUGAAAUCCCCCGGCUUAACCUGGGAACUGCGUCUGAUACUGGAAGGCUUGAGUGCGGGAGAGGGAUGUGGAAUUCCAGGUGUAGCGGUGAAAUGCGUAGAUAUCUGGAGGAACACCGGUGGCGAAGGCGGGUCUCUGGGCCGAUACUGACGCUGAGGAGCGAAAGCGUGGGGAGCAAACAGG
rnacentral:rRNA from 1 species